rnacentral:rRNA from 1 species
AUUGAACGCUGGCGGCAGGCCUAACACAUGCAAGUCGAACGAGUGGCGGACGGGAGAGUAAUGUCUGGGAAACUGCCCGUUGGAGGGGGAUAACUACUGGAAACGGUAGCUAAUACCGCAUACCAUCGGAUGUGCCCAGAUGGGAUUAGCUAGUAGGUGGGGUAACGGCUCACCUAGGCGACGAUCCCUAGCUGGUCUGAGAGGAUGACCAGCCACCCGGGAACUGAGACACGGUCCAGAGUCCUACGGGAGGAAGCAGUGGGGAAUAUUGCACAAGGGGCGAAAGCCGGAUGAAGACAUGCGGGGUGGAGGAAGAGGGCCUUCGGGUGGUAAAGUACUUUCAGCGAGGAGGCGUUACUCGCAGAAGAAGCACCGGCUAACUCCGUGCCAGCCGCCGCGGUAAUAC